rnacentral:lncRNA from 1 species
UAAUAUUCAUUGUUUGUUACUUGUCAAAGGUGUUAAAUAAUAUGUUUUAGCAUUGAGGUCAUAGUUAGUAAUGUUGUUGUACUGGACUGCAUUAUAUUAACGUUAUAUUAUUACAGCGGUCCAGUACAACAGCGCCUUUAACUGUGACCUCAGUAAUAAACAUGUAACUGACAAUGUCACCAAUACCUGAACAUUAUAGACCUCGGCAGAACUUAUGGCAGAGUUGUUGUAUUUAAUUGAAUUAGAUUGUAACGUGUGACAGUUGAUUUUACCUAAUAAAGUGGCCACUGACUGUAUAUAACUUACAGUAUAUAUAUGUAACGUUAAGUUACAGUACAUAUUAUUACAGUGUCUGUAUUUAUACACACGCAGUAUACUGUAUACUGUAUAUAUGUGAUAAACUUAACCAUUAAAUUACACAUAAAUUUGCUGCUAACAGUUAAGGUUAAAAUCCGUUGGAGUAAUGUUAACAUUAGUUGCUUACCUUUUCCAGAAAUUUGACGAUUAUCUGGCACAAAGAUGCCUGCGAGUUACAGAACAAGUUCGCCUGCAGUUCGCAAGUAUUAUUGUGCAGCUUCUUAUCGGAUGCAUUUCAAGGAUGUAUUAUUAGAUUAUUAUAAUUAGAUGUAUUAAUAUCGCAGAUUGCCGGUAGAGGUGAGGUUGGCACAGGUUACCACGGUUACGUGUCUCAAUCCAACCGGCAGGAGUCUCUCAGGAAGUGCGUCACUUCCGCACUAAACAGUGCGUCGGAAAAAAUGCAUACUACAUUUAUUCACUCAAGAGAAGAAGACAAAUACAACCUCAAAAGGGAAAAAAAAUCAUCAGAAACAAAGACAAGGAAGGAUUACAGUGGACAAUUAAUGACCAGAGGAGCAGACACAAGGACAAAACCAGAAGAAUGCUAGCUGCUAGCUAACAAUCUACAGCCAAGGUCCAUAAGUGAACUUCUGGGAGGAGAGAAGUUUGUGUCCUGCUCAAUGGUGCUGCCAGCAUUGUGUCAUCUAUCACAAGUGAUGGAGGUUGCUGAGGAUGACCCAACUUACAUGGCUAAGUUCAAGGACACCUUCACAAAAGACAUGGAGGGACGAAAGAAAAAAACAUCACAUGGCUGAGGGUUGCCACAGCACUUGACCCUAGGUUCAAGGACCUCAAGUGUCUAAGCAGACCUGACAGGGCUGAGGUGUGGUGCUCUGUCAGUGCCUUGCUCAG